rnacentral:rRNA from 1 species
UACGGAGGAUCCGAGCGUUAUCCGGAUUUAUUGGGUUUAAAGGGUGCGUAGGCGGUUUGAUAAGUUAGAGGUGAAAUGUCGGGGCUCAACCCCGAAACUGCCUCUAAUACUGUUGGACUAGAGAAUAGUUGCGGUAGGCGGAAUGUAUGGUGUAGCGGUGAAAUGCUUAGAGAUCAUACAGAACACCGAUUGCGAAGGCGGCUUUCUGGACUGAAACUGACGCUGAGGCACGAAAGCGUGGGGAGCGAACAGG